rnacentral:tRNA from 1 species
GGCCCGGUAGCUGAGUGGUCAGCGUGACAGACUGUCAAUCUUAAGGGCCCGGGUUCGAUUCCCGGCUGGGUCG